rnacentral:lncRNA from 1 species
GGGCAGGAAGAACAACACCCACCUCUUCACUAUCAACUAGAAAUUCAGCCAAUUGAAGGUGAAUAAGAAUCAAAAUCUUGUGCAUGUGAUGAGAUUCAUAACCAUCUAAGAAUUCUCUACAUAAGGAUGGAGGAUGGAUUAAGGAAGAAAGCUCAAGUCCUUCCGGAUCGCAAACAAACAACCGUAAAGGUAAGUUCCCUUACUUACAAAAAUAUUAUUGGUAUGUAUAUAAUUGAAAUGUGA